GGUAGGGAUGAGGGCAAGAUUUCAUGCACCGGUUGAAUUUUGUGUAGUGAUGGCUUUUUCUUGGGUUACGUCCUGCAUUUGCAGAGGAAUCAUCCAGGAGCAGCAGCCGGAGAAAUUGGCGGAAGUGGACCUGAGCCGCCUGGAAAUCCUUCUAAGCAGACAUGAACAGUCUUCAGCUUUCUGCCUCCCACGUAACUGCCUGGAAAAGAAGUCGCGUGUCAAUGUCUACAGCCUUCAUGUCAUGGAAAGCGAGCGAGAGCGAUGGGACCUCAAGAACUACUGAUGCCAAGGAAAAGCUGUCCUAAUGGGAGUGGAACAGUCGCCACUCUCAAUGAGAUAAGUGUCUGUUUUGGUGAUUGCUCUGCUCCCGGCCCACCUUGCUCCUGGUAGGGACGCUCCAUUUGCUGGGGCUGUGUUUGUAAGAAAGUGUUUUUGACUAGCUGUGUUUAUGAGGGAGACAAGGUCCCCAUUUUCAGAGGCUGCUCAGUUCUCUGGCCAGUAGCAGUGUCUCCUCUGCAUCAGAAGGUGAGAUCCAGGGGAUGACUCCAGGUGACGAGUUGCUUCCCUUCCUCCCAUGUUUCUCUUUCUGUCUGUCUCUUCUCUAGUAUGUUGGCCAACACUCUUUCUCUCUCUCUCUCUGUCUCUGUCCUUGCCUCUCCUUAUCCCUUCUCCCUUCAUAGCACACGGGCAGGCGUGCUAGGUGUGCAUCCCCACAGGCUAGGUCUUGGGAGCUAUGAACAAGUAGGAGGGGAUGAAAAUCAUGCUGGACAGUGGGUGUGAGAGUGGAGCGGUGACUCAGUGUUUACUCGGUCUGUAUUCACUGAGUGGAUUUUACGCACCAAUAGAGCUGUAUGUAGUGAUGUCUCAUGCUUGGCUUUUGCAGCUGCGCUUCUAGAGGAAUCAUGGAGGAGCAGCAGCCGAAGGAGAAGCUGGCAGAUGUGGACCUGAGCAGCUUGGACGUUGUUCUAAGCAGAGAUUAACAGUCCUCAGCUUUCUGCCUUGCACAUAACUGGCUGGCCUGAGGCAGCUGUCCUGAUUGGCCGGAGCUUCCUCGCGCCGGCUACGAAGAGGAACCACCGGAGCUUCCCUGGGCCCGGUACUGGGAGGAGCCGCCGGAAUUCCCCCACGCCCACUACGAAGAGGAGCUGUCGGAGCCUCCCCGUCCCUGCUGUUACCCGGAGGAGCCGCCCGAGCACGCCUGGCCGGACUUCCCUGAGGAGCUGCCGGACCUGCCACCAAGCCCUGGCCUUGAGGAGCCUAUGCUGAUUGACUGGCCUGGACCCGGUGCCCUGGACGAGCUGCGCUUGCAGAGGAAUUGUCCAGGAGCCCCAGCCCAAGGAGA